GGGCGGUUAGCUCAGCUGGGAGAGCAUCUGCCUUACAAGCAGAGGGUCAUAGGUUCGAGCCCUAUACCGCCCACCA
rnacentral:tRNA from 1 species